GACGAACGCUGGCGGCGUGCUUAACACAUGCAAGUCGAACGGAAAGGCCCUGCUUUUGUGGGGUGCUCGAGUGGCGAACGGGUGAGUAACACGUGAGUAACCUGCCCUUGACUUUGGGAUAACUUCAGGAAACUGGGGCUAAUACCGGAUAGGAGCUCCUGCUGCAUGGUGGGGGUUGGAAAGUUUCGGCGGUUGGGGAUGGACUCGCGGCUUAUCAGCUUGUUGGUGGGGUAGUGGCUUACCAAGGCUUUGACGGGUAGCCGGCCUGAGAGGGUGACCGGCCAAAAUGGGAAUGAGGAUAGGGCCAGAAUCCUAAGGGUUGCAGGAGGUGGGAAAAAUGGAACAAGGGGGGAAGGCCUAAGGAGGAACGGCGGGGGGGGGAUGAAGGCCUUCGGGUUGUAAACCGCUUUCGCCUGUGACGAAGCGUGAGUGACGGUAAUGGGUAAAGAAGCACCGGCUAACUACGUG
rnacentral:rRNA from 1 species